rnacentral:rRNA from 1 species
GAUGAACGCUGGCGGCGUGCCUAAUACAUGCAAGUCGAGCGAACAGACGAGGAGCUUGCUCCUCUGACGUUAGCGGCGGACGGGUGAGUAACACGUGGAUAACCUACCUAUAAGACUGGGAUAACUUCGGGAAACCGGAGCUAAUACCGGAUAAUAUAUUGAACCGCAUGGUUCAAUAGUGAAAGACGGUUUUGCUGUCACUUAUAGAUGGAUCCGCGUCGCAUUAGCUAGUUGGUAAGGUAACGGCUUACCAAGGCAACGAUGCGUAGCCGACCUGAGAGGGUGAUCGGCCACACUGGAACUGAGACACGGUCCAGACUCCUACGGGAGUCAGCAGUAGGGAAUCUUCCGCAAUGGGCGAAAGCCUGACGGAGCUACGCCGCGUGAGUGAUGAAGGUCUUCGGAUCGUAAAACUCUGUUAUUAGGGAAGAACAAAUGUGUAAGUAACUAUGCACGUCUUGACGGUACCUAAUCAGAAAGCCACGGCUAACUACGUG